rnacentral:rRNA from 1 species
ACCACGAACGGUGGAGCCUGCGGUUUAAUUGGACUCAACGCCGGGCAGCUCACCGGAUAAGACAGCUGGAUGAUAGCCGGGCUGAAGACUCUGCUUGACUAGCUGAGAGGAGGUGCAUGGCCGUCGUCAGUUCGUACUGUGAAGCAUCCUGUUAAGUCAGGCAACGAGCGAGACCCACGCCAACAGUUGCCAGCAUGUCCUCCGGGAUGAUGGGGACACUGUUGGGACCGCCUCUGCUAAAGAGGAGGAAGGAAUGGGCAACGGUAGGUCAGCAUGCCCCGAAUUAUCCGGGCUACACGCGGGCUACAAUGGUCAGGACAAUGGGUAUCGACACCGAGAGGUGGAGGCAAUCUCCUAAACCUGUCCUUAGUUCGGAUUGUGGGCUGCAACUCGCCCACAUGAAGCUGGAAUCCGUAGUAAUCGCGUUUCAAAAUAGCGCGGUCGAAUACUGUCCUGCUCCUU